AAUUUGGGCAAGUAAUUACCGCCGCCUACCCACCGCACCGCACUGGCUCCUUUCCUUUCUCGCUGGCGGCCUCCCCGCUGUCGCCGCCACCACACGCUCCCUCCGUGACCGCGCGCACGCAACCCCACCGGACCAAACCCACCGGACCAAGCCAACCCCAUUCCCCAGAACUCGGCCAAAAAUCUCGUCUUUUUUGAUUGAGGAGCCGGAAGAAGAAGAAGGGGGAAGAAGAAUAUUGUUCCCUCCGGGCGAAGAAAGAGGACGACGCGGCGGCGGGCGGCGAGCCGUUGUUCCUUUAUUUGUCUCCACGCAUCCCCUCCCCUCCCCUCCCCUCCACCCACAAAUAUUCCGCCCUCCCGCACCUGCUCCGUUCUUUUCUUCCACCCCGUGCGCUGCGUUCCUUUCCUCUGCCUCGGUCGACCCUGCUUUGACUUCAACUUGAAGCUGCCGUCUGCCCUCCUGCCUUCCUUCCUUUCUUCCUGGGAUCGGGCAAGAAGAAUUCCUCUGCCUUCUCCCGUCCGUCCACCGGAUUUGGGUCCCGUCCCGUCGGAGGGUUCGAGGCGGCGCGGCGCGGCGGAGGAUUUCGUCUGUUCCCGGCGGCGGAUUCGGAUUUGCGGGGUUCCGGAUGGGGAAGCCGUCGCUGAAAAAGAAGCGGGCCUCCUCCGGCGCCGGCAAGGGCGGCGGGGGCGACCACCACGGGGGAAGCAAGCCGGGGGCGCUGGAGCGGUCGGGCUCCAAGGUGCUCGACGGGGACGAGACCAUCUUCGCGGAGAUGGCGCAGGAACUGCGGGAGGAGGGGAACAAGCUCUUCCAGCGCCGGGACUACGAGCGCGCCCUCCUCAACUACGAGAAGGCCGUCAGGCUGCUCCCGGCCUCCGCCGCCCUCGACGCCGCCUACCUCCACAGCAACCUCGCCGCCUGCUACAUGCAGAUGAGCCCCCCCGACCACUACCGCGCCAUCAACGAGUGCAACCUCGCCCUCGACGCCGCGCCCAAAUACUCCAAGGCGCUCCUCAAGCGGGCCCGCUGCUUCGAGGCGCUCGGCCGCCUCGACCUCGCCGCCCGGGACGUCGACAGGGUGCUGGCUGCCGAGCCCGGGAACCUCACCGCGCUCGACGUCGCCGACAGGGUCAGGCGGACCAUGGAGGAGAAGGGGUUUGUGGUGGACGGGGAGGCCGUCAUGCCCACGCCCGAGGAGGUGGUCGCCGCAGCGCCCAAGCAGCAGCAGAAGCCCAGGAAGAAGAAGGGCCGGAAGGCGUCUGCCAAGGCCGCGGCUGCCGCCGUGGAGGAGCAGGGGGAGGAGAAGGCGGCCGAGCCUGUCAAGGAGGCCGAGGAGCCGCCCAGGCAGGUCAAGCUCGUGUUUGGCGAGGACAUCCGGUGGGCUCAGGUGCCGGCCAGCUGCGGCAUGGCGCAGCUGCGCGAGGCUGUCCGCGGCAAGUUCCCGGGACUCAAGGCUGUUCUUGUCAAGUACAAGGACAGGGAGGGCGACCUUGUCACCAUCACCAACCAGGACGAGCUCAAAUGGGCCGAGGACUUGACUGAGCCGGGCAGCUCGCUUCGGCUGUAUGUCACCGAAGCCAACCCGGAGCAUGAGCCUUACCUUGAGGACGCAAGCAGCGGCCCGCUGGACAGGAAUAUGCACAACGCGUCGGACAAUGGAAGUAUCAGAAGCAACAGGCAGGACGAGGACAGGAGCACCGUGACUUACAUUGAUGAUUGGAUUGUGCAGUUCGCUCGCCUUUUCAAGAACCAUGUCGGGGUCAGCUCCGAUGAGUAUCUGGACCUCCACGAGGUCAGUAUGAAGCUGUAUACCGAUGCCAUUGAAGACACGAUUACUACCGACGAAGCACAGGAGGUGUUUCAGCUCGCCGAGGGGAACUUUCAGGAGAUGGCAGCGCUUGCGUUUUUCCAUUGGGGUAAUGUUCACAUGUCUCGGGCUAGGAAGAGGCUGCUCUUACCGGAAGACUCUCCAAAGGAACUGGUGCUUGAGAAAGUGAAGGAAGCGUACGAGUGGGCAAAGGAAGAAUACAAGAAGGCCGGGAAGACAUACGAAGAAGCUGUAAGGGCCAAGCCGGACUUUUUCGAAGGUUUCCUUGCACUUGCGCACCAGCAGUUUGAGCAAGCAAAGCUGUCAUGGUAUUAUGCUAUCGGUACCAACGCGGAUCUGGACACAUGGCCUUCCUCUGAAGUCUUGGAGCUCUUCAAUAGAGCUGAGGAUAACAUGGAGAAGGGUACAGAAAUGUGGGAGGAAGUGGAAGAACAGCGCCUGAAGAAUCGAUCCAGACCUAGCCAGGAAAAUGCUGUGCUGGAGAAAAUGGGCAUGGAGGAGUACAUCAAAGAUGUAUCCACUGAUGACGCUGCUGAACGGGCUUCCAAUAUGAGGUCCCAGAUAAAUAUUCUGUGGGGCAUGCUGCUUUAUGAGCGUUCAGUUGUGGAGUUUAAAUUAGGACUGCCAGCGUGGGAAGAUUGUCUGAUGGCAGCAAUUGAGAAGUUUAAACUUGGAGGAGCUUCAGCUACAAACAUUGCUGUGUUGGUGAAAAACCACUGUGCAAAUGAAACUGCCCAGGAUGGUUUGGGCUUCAACGUUGAUGAAAUUGUGCAAGCCUGGAAUGAGAUGUACGACAUUAAACGGUGGCUGCGUGGUGCUCCAUCCUUCCGUCUCGAGCCAUUGUUUAGGCGGAGAACGCCGCAACUGCAUAUGGCACUGGAGCAUAUAUAGUAUGCAUGAAGUUGGUCCACACAUAUUAAAUUCUGGAGCACUGUUACCGACACCAAUUUUCUUUUUAGGUCAAUUGUUGAUUGGGAUACAAUACAUGGAUUUGUCCGGUUGCAUUUUUUAUACAUGGAAAAGUCUGCUUCCCGGUUGCGAAGCUAUUCAUUGCGGAGGGGUGGAGCCCGCUCGCGAUUUGCAUACGUUAGUUGUCGUUUUUUUUGUCUGUCUUGUUCUUCUUCAUGCACAGGAAGCUGUGACUUGUUACUGUAUUAGAGCUGCAUUUGUCAGUAAGCUUAGUAAUAUACAUACAGUAUUAUUUUGAGGAUGGAUUUGGUGCAUCCUCUAUUUGUUUUGCAGUGAAUUCCGGUAUCUUGUCUGCAUGCCUGUUUUGGGCUUAAUUAUAUUGUGAUCACAUA